AUGCAAGUCGAGCGAAGUGAGAUUAGAAGAAAUUUUCGGAUGGAAUCUAAACUUAUCUUAGCGGCGGACGGGUGAGUAACGCGUGAGGAACCUGCCUUUCACAAAGGGAUAGCCUCGGGAAACUGGGAUUAAUACCUUAUGAAACUAUAAUAUCGCAUGGUAAGAUAGUUAAAGCGAAAGCGGUGAAAGAUGGACUCGCGUCCCAUUAGUUAGUUGGUGAGGUAAAGGCUCACCAAGGCAGCGAUGGGUAGCCGGCCUGAGAGGGUGAACGGCCACACUGGAACUGAGAGACGGUCCAGACUCCUACGGGAGGCAGCAGUGGGGGAUAUUGCACAAUGGGGGAAACCCUGAUGCAGCGACGCCGCGUGGAGGAAGAAGGUUUUCGGAUUGUAAACUCCUGUCGUUAGGGACGAUAAUGACGGUACCUAACAAGAAAGCACCGGCUAACUACGUGCCAGCAGCCGCGGUAAAACGUAGGGUGCAAGCGUUGUCCGGAAUUACUGGGUGUAAAGGGAGCGCAGGCGGACCGGCAAGUUGGAAGUGAAAACUAUGGGCUCAACCCAUAAAUUGCUUUCAAAACUGCUGGCCUUGAGUAGUGCAGAGGUAGGUGGAAUUCCCGGUGUAGCGGUGGAAUGCGUAGAUAUCGGGAGGAACACCAGUGGCGAAGGCGACCUACUGGGCACCAACUGACGCUGAGGCUCGAAAGCAUGGGUAGCAAACAGGAUUAGAUACCCUGGUAGUCCAUGCCGUAAACGAUGAUUACUAGGUGUUGGGGGAUUGACCCCCUCAGUGCCGCAGUUAACACAAUAAGUAAUCCACCUGGGGAGUACGACCGCAAGGUUGAAACUCAAAGGAAUUGACGGGGGCCCGCACAAGCAGUGGAGUAUGUGGUUUAAUUCGAAGCAACGCGAAGAACCUUACCAGGUCUUGACAUCCGAUGCAUAGCACAGAGAUGUGUGAAAUCCUUCGGGACAUCGAGACAGGUGGUGCAUGGUUGUCGUCAGCUCGUGUCGUGAGAUGUUGGGUUAAGUCCCGCAACGAGCGCAACCCUUAUUGCCAGUUACUACGUUAAGAGGACUCUGGCGAGACUGCCGUUGACAAAACGGGGGAAGGUGGGGAUGACGUCAAAUCAUCAUGCCCUUUAUGACCUGGGCUACACACGUACUACAAUGGCGUUAAACAAAGAGAAGCAAGACCGCGAGGUGGAGCAAAACUCAAAAACAACGUCUCAGUUCAGAUUGCAGGCUGCAACUCGCCUGCAUGAAGUCGGAAUUGCUAGUAAUCGCGGAUCAGCAUGCCGCGGUGAAUACGUUCCCGGGCCUUGCACACACCGCCCGUCA
rnacentral:rRNA from 1 species